rnacentral:tRNA from 1 species
UCCCUGGUGGCUCAGUUGGUAAAGAAUCUGCCUGCAAUGUGGGAGACUUGGGUUCGAUCCCUGGCUUGGGAA